GACGUAGGGCGCGAGCGUUGUCCGGAUUUAUUGGGCGUAAAGAGCUUGUAGGCGGUCUGUCGCGUCUGCUGUGAAAAUCCGGGGCUCAACCCCGGACUUGCAGUGGGUACGGGCAGACUAGAGUGUGGUAGGGGAGACUGGAAUUCCUGGUGUAGCGGUGAAAUGCGCAGAUAUCAGGAGGAACACCGAUGGCGAAGGCAGGUCUCUGGGCCACUACUGACGCUGGAGAAAGCGAAAGCAUGGGGAGCGAACAGG
rnacentral:rRNA from 1 species